GACGAACGCUGGCGGCGUGCCUAAUACAUGCAAGUCGAGCGCAGGAAACUGACGGAACUCUUCGGAGGGAAGGCAGUGGAAUGAGCGGCGGACGGGUGAGUAACACGUAAGGAACCUGCCUCAAGGAUUGGGAUAACUCCGAGAAAUCGGAGCUAAUACCGGAUAGUUCAUCGGACCGCAUGGUCCGUUGAUGAAAGGCGCUUCGGCGUCACCUUGAGAUGGCCUUGCGGUGCAUUAGCUAGUUGGUGGGGUAACGGCCCACCAAGGCGACGAUGCAUAGCCGACCUGAGAGGGUGAUCGGCCACACUGGGACUGAGACACGGCCCAGACUCCUACGGGAGGCAGCAGUAGGGAAUCUUCCACAAUGGACGAAAGUCUGAUGGAGCAACGCCGCGUGAGUGAUGAAGGUUUUCGGAUCGUAAAACUCUGUUGUAAGGGAAGAACACGUACGAGAGGGAAUGCUCGUACCUUGACGGUACCUUACGAGAAAGCCACGGCUAACUACGUGCCAGCAGCCGCGGUAA
rnacentral:rRNA from 1 species